GACGAACGCUGGCGGCGUGCUUAACACGUGCAAGUCGAACGGAAAGGCCCUGCUUUUGUGGGGUGCUCGAGUGGCGAACGGGUGAGUAACACGUGAGUAACCUGCCCUUGACUUUGGGAUAACUUCAGGAAACUGGGGCUAAUACCGGAUAGGAGCUCCUGCUGCAUGGUGGGGGUUGGAAAGUUUCGGCGGUUGGGGAUGGACUCGCGGCUUAUCAGCUUGUUGGUGGGGGAGUGGCUUACCAAGGCUUUGACGGGUAGCCGGCCUGAGAGGGUGACCGGCCACAUUGGGACUGAGAUACGGACCAGACUCCUACGGGAGGCAGCAGUGGGGAAUAUUGCACAAUGGGCGGAAGCCUGAUGCAGCAACGCCGCGUGCGGGAUGACGGCCUUCGGGUUGUAAACCGCUUUCGCCUGUGACGAAGCGUGAGUGACGGUAAUGGGUAAAGAAGCACCGGCUAACUACGUG
rnacentral:rRNA from 1 species